rnacentral:rRNA from 1 species
GACGAACGCUGGCGGCGUGCUUAACACAUGCCAGUCGAACGGAAAGGCCCUGCUUUUGUGGGGUGCUCGAGUGGCGAACGGGUGAGUAACACGUGAGUAACCUGCCCUUGACUUUGGGAUAACUUCAGGAAACUGGGGCUAAUACCGGAUAGGAGCUCCUGCUGCAUGGGGGGGGUUGGAAAGUUUCGGCGGUUGGGGAUGGACUCGCGGGUUAUCAGCUUGUUGGUGGGGUAGUGGCUUACCAAGGCUUUGAAGGGUAGCCGGCCUGAGAGGCUGACCGGCCACAUUGGGACUGAGAUAGGGCCCAGACUCCUACGGGAGGCAGCAGGGGGGAAUAUUGCACAAUGGGCGGAAGCCUGAUGCAGCAAUGCCGCGUGCGGGAUGACGGCCUUCGGGUUGUAAACAGCUUUCGCCGGUGCCGAAGAGUGAGUGACGGUAAUGGGUAAAGAAGCACCGGCUAACUACGUG